UACGGGGGGUGCGAGCGUUGUUCGGAAUUAUUGGGCGUAAAGAGCGUGUAGGCGGCUUGAUAAGUCAGAUGUGAAAGCCCUGGGCUUAACCCAGGAAGUGCAUUUGAAACUGUCUUGCUAGAGUAAGGAAGGGGGAAGUGGAAUUCCUGGUGUAGAGGUGGAAUUCGUAGAUAUCAGGAGGAACACCGGUGGCGAAGGCGACUUCCUGGUCCUAUACUGACGCUGAGACGCGAGAGCGUGGGUAGCAAAC
rnacentral:rRNA from 1 species